rnacentral:rRNA from 1 species
CAAUAGCGUAUAUUAAAGUUGUUGCGGUUAAAAGCUCGUAGUUGGGUUUCUGUUGAGGGCAGCCGGUCCGCACUUCGUGUAUCUGGUUUGACCUCGGCAUCCUCUCAAAAUACGUUUCUGCGCUUGAUUGCGUGGAGCGGAGUUUGAGACUUUUACUUUGAGGAAAUUAGAGUGUUCACGGCAGGCUAUCGCCUUGAAUAUAUUAGCAUGGAAUAAUAAUAUAGGAUCUUGGUUCUAUUUUGUUGGUUUCUUAGGGCUAAGAUAAUGAUUAAUAGGGACAAUUGGGGCGAUUCGUAUUAACGCGUCAGAGGUGGAAUUCUUGGAUUGCGUUACGUACGAACUACUGCGAAAGCAUUUGUCCAAGGAUGUUUUCAUUGUAUCAAGAACGAAAGUAAGGGGAGUCGAAGACGAUCAGAUACCAU